GAAUAUGUGGACUAACGGGUCACAACCGCGUAUCAUGUAAAUACCGUGGAGAGUCCAAUGCACAAUCACAAACUCAUUCUGAAAAUAACGUUAACUAUGUCGAUGAUGAGUUUGUCGAAGAUAACGAUGAUUGGAACCUUUCUAUGGAUUUGAGUUAAUUGUGGAUAUAGGUUAAGCACUAUCAGGUUCAAAUGGAAAUGUGUUUUGCCUAGUUUGAGAGAUGUGAUGCUGCUGGUAGUGUUGUUCAGCUGUUGUGUUGCUGAAGCUAUUUACAUUAUGAUCAGACAAAGCUUUUCAAUAUGUAUCAUGUUUAGAUUACAAUGAGACCAAACUCUGUUUAGAUUAAUUUGAGACCAAACUCUGUUUAGAUUAUGCCUAAUGAGCUUCCUAAAAAAAUUAUUUGUUGACUUUGUAGUUUUAAGUUUGAUCUCUUGGCUAAUGUGGCACGACAAAUUAUAUUAUUAUUAUUAU